GAAUGAUGAGAUCUCCUAGCUGGCACCAGUCAGACACAGACGGCCUUUUAAGGCUGUCGCUGUUGAUUAGCUUUCAGUCCGGGAACGCUACCCGCGAUCCUGAA
rnacentral:snoRNA from 1 species